AUUGAGCGCUGGCGGCAUGCCUUACACAUGCAGGUCGAACGGCAGCACGGGGCAACCUGGUGGCGAGUGGCGAACGGGUGAGUAAUGCAUCGGAACGUACCUUUCAGUGGGGGAUAACGUAGCGAAAGUUACGCUAAUACCGCAUAUUCUGUGAGCAGGAAAGCAGGGGAUCGCAAGACCUUGUGCUGAUUGAGCGGCCGAUAUCAGAUUAGCUAGUUGGUGAGGUAAAGGCUCACCAAGGCGACGAUCUGUAGCGGGUCUGAGAGGAUGAUCCGCCACACUGGAACUGAGACACGGUCCAGACUCCUACGGGAGGCAGCAGUGGGGAAUUUUGGACAAUGGGGGCAACCCUGAUCCAGCCAUGCCGCGUGAGUGAAGAAGGCCUUCGGGUUGUAAAGCUCUUUCGGCCGGGAAGAAAUCGUAUCAGCUAAUACCUGGUGCGGAUGACGGUACCGGCAUAAGAAGCACCGGCUAACUACGUGCCAGCAGCCGCCGUAAGAC
rnacentral:rRNA from 1 species